rnacentral:rRNA from 1 species
GCCAGCAGCCAUAUCACCCACCAAUUCACAGCUGGCGGCCCACUGGAGCUCAGCAGGUGUGAGCCUGGCCAGUACCUGGAUGGGAGACCUCCUGGGAAAGCUAAGGCUGCUGCUGGAA